rnacentral:lncRNA from 1 species
ACUGAGCAGGUCCUUGAAAGAACAGCUCAAAGGAGCAAGACAAAUAUAAUCCAUCCUUCAAGCAACAUUUGGCUCUAAUAAUUAUCCUACAACAGGAAGGGA